GCCACGUAACAGUUAUUAUUAAAAGAAAUCUAUAUGCUGCAUCUACGUGUCGCUCGUGCCUCAGUCACGUAAAUAGCAACGUCGGUCGGUCGGUCGGCCGUCAAUAUAAAACUUCUAUCUGGUAACGACACCGUUCGGCAAUGUCACGGGUAUGCGAGGCUGUUUCUACCACUAAAGCGGGCAGAUGGACAUGAUACGGAAUAAUUACUGGCCAGAGCGUGAUAUUAUGCAAUGGCCAGCCGCGAUAGAACGUCUCUUCGUGCACCGAAGCUCCCAUAUGAAACAAUAUGCAGAGAUGUCCCAGAUCGAUCAGGGUCGCCGCGACGGAAAGCCGGACUGAUCAGCGUCUAGCUGGUCAAGGGAUGCGAAGUGAUGCAUUCCGCAGGCCGUAAAGAAGAUGGGGAGAUGAAAAAAUCGGGCAAUAGUGGCCCAUUAUCAACUAUUAUCAUAUAAGUAGUGUGCUACGAUACUACGAAGAACUGCAGAUUAUAAGCUACCGGUUCCAGUGUGCCGAACUUUCGCUUUCCGUCUAGGGGAUCGCAUGCACGACGCCAUCUAUGGGAUGUCAUACAUUUUCGAAGACAACAUCGAACAACAACAAUACGUCUAUGGCAGUUGGCAUAUGUAUGCACAGCACUCCUUAUGUACCUGUAUUUCGGUGCCUCAGUGAGUGCUACGAUAUUUAUAUGCGAAUGGGUGGUCUCACUACUGAGCGAACUGAGACUGACGAUGAGGCGAAAUUGAAGAUUAACAACAGGGCUUAGCGGGACUCAUCUUGUUACAUCGAGAGGGGAAAUUUUUGUUUCGCUAAAAUUGUGCGUUUGCUUGAGACAGUCCUAUUAUGGUGUGUCAUACAGGACAGAAACGAUAGAUUAGAGAGGAAUUUUAGAUCCAACCUAUCAACCAGCUCUAGGCGCGCUCUAAGCCAAUUUUUACAUGACUAAAGUUACAGAUACAGAUGAAAAUGAAUGCUUCUUCAAAAAGUGUAUCUAAAUGCACAACGAGUAUUUUUUUUUGUGACGACAGAGACGCUUCUGACGCAUAUUUUUAUUUGAUGCGAUUAAUAUUCGCGUACGGCUACGGUUGAAUUCGAGGCAUAAACUACUGAGAAGUGAUUUUCAGUUUUUUUUACAUAAAUUCGCGAAUGUUUUUUUCUCAAUAGAAAUCGAUAAUAAAACAAUAUAAACACAUGUGGACUUAAUGCAGUUUGCCCAAGGCAAGUUAGUGGAUUCAAACAUUUGCUUGGUAAUAGGCCAAAAUAGUGUAGUUUUAGCUUCUUCCUUGGAUUCUUCAAAGGCUACAUAAUGACCGAUUAUAAUAUAGCUUUUAGCUAACCAGAGGAGCUUAUAGGUUUGGGGGCGGUAUAUCUGAAAAGGUUCGGCAAUAGUUACUCUUUGGUCAUAUUUCUUAAAAAUUAUAACAAUAAUGCAAAAACCUAUCUGAGCUGAUAUACAUUACCCUUCACAAUUGUAAGACCUGAAGAUUCUCUUGGAACACUGCUUAAAAGUCUCUGUUUUGAAAGCUAUUUAUUUCCCUAUUUAUAACAAAAUAGCUAUCGGGUCCUCCGAUGCUUGCAAAAGUUAGUAUUCAAAAACAGGAACUUCUUUUAAUAUUAAGGAAUGGCUAUUUGGAAUAACGAAAUAAUAAAGCCAGAGCACCAGGCAUGCAGUAAAAUAAAAAUAAUAACUAUAGGCUAUUUGUUAGGUAUCGGUUAAUCUUGUAUCAAACGUUUUAGUCUAUAUAUAUAUAACUCCCUAGCACUAGAGACUCGUUACUCCUUAUUCGUGCUAUAAUAGUAUUUGUCGAUGAAAACUGCUGUAUACGGCGGCACAUAAUGAAGUACUUUCAGAUCUAAUGUCCUCCUUCGGUUUGCCCCAUUUGCGAUUACGCAGCGUCUUACUCUUGCCGGUGCUUGCGCGUCACGGCAGGAACAAACGUUUGGUUGUUCUUUUUCCAUUAUUUUGCGCCAAGGCUUAGCGGUAAGUACGACUGUUGUUAUUUCACUGAAGUAAUUAUGAUUGGGGAUGUUGUUGUGUUAGUAUGAUAGAGCGCGUGGAUCUCUUACCUGAUAGUGGCAACGGCUGUGAAGAUCAUCAUGGAAGAGCGUUGCUGACGACAACAAUGAUGAGAGAAAUUAACAAUACUGAUGACACGAUUGCGGCCGGACAAAAAGCACCGCUAGAAUCGAGCGAUGCGACGGAUUUCACAUUCAUGGUGUCCGCAAUGCUAGCAAAAGCUAGAAAGAUUAGCCCCUUUUGAGCUGGAACGUUCACAUCGCUAAAACGAGCAUAACGUUAGUAUUGCCCAGGGCUGAAUGACCCUAAUGAGGGCAACAACUGCAGGCCGGAUCAAAGUAAUCAUCAUUGUAUUUCGUUUCAGCAAU
rnacentral:lncRNA from 1 species